GGCUCAGAACGAACGCUGGCGGCGUGGCUAAGACAUGCAAGUCGAACGGUACGUUGUAGCAAUAUGACGUAUAGUGGCGAACGGGUGAGUAAUGAAUAGGUAACGUGCCCCGGGCACAGGGAUACCGCCGGGCCUCGCAAGAGGUCCUUUGCGAAAGUGGCGUUAAUACCUGGCGACGUCCUUGGGAGGCAUCUCCUGAGGAUCAUAUGGUGGGGACCGCAAGGCCUACCGGCCUGGGAUCGGCCUAUUUCCUAUCAGCUAGUUGGUGAGGUAACGGCUCACCAAGGCUGCGACGGGUAGCGGGACUGAGAGGUCGGCCCGCCACAUCGGGACUGAGACACUGCCCGGACACCUACGGGUGGCUGCAGUAACGAAUAUUCCGCAAUGGGCGAAAGCCUGACGGAGCGACGCCGCGUGAAGGACGAAUUCCUUCGGGAUGUAAACUUCUUUUGGGGUGAAGAAACCGAGGGGCGCUAAUACCGCUCCGAGUUGAUCGAUCCCCGAAUAAGCCUGGGCUAACUCCGUGCCAGCAGCCGCGGUAAGACGGAGCAGGCAAGCGUUGUUCGGAAUCACUGGGCUUAAAGCGCGUGUAGGCGGCCUUGCAAGUACCUUGUGAAAGCCCUCGUCUCAACCGAGGAACUGCUUGGUAUACUGCAAGGCUUGAGGCGGGUAGGGGUGCUUGGAACUCUAGGUGGAGCGGUGAAAUGCGUAGAGAUCUAGGGGAACGCCUGUGGCGAAAGCGGAGCACUGGGCCUGACCUGACGCUGAGACGCGAAAGCGUGGGUAGCAAACGGGAUUAGAUACCCCGGUAGUCCACGCCGUAAACGAUGCGCACUAGGUUUGUUGACUUCUGACGGUCAGCGAGCCGAAACAAAAGCAAUAAGUGCGCCGCCUGGGGAGUACGGCCGCAAGGCUAAAACU
rnacentral:rRNA from 1 species